GUUAGGAAUAUUGGACAAUGGGCGCAAGCCUGAUCCAGCCAUGCCGCGUGAGUGAUGAAGGCCUUCGGGUUGUAAAGCUCUUUAGCCGAUGAUUAUAAUGACUGUAGUCGGAAAAUAAGCCCCGGCUAACUUCGUGCCAGCAGCCGCGGUAAUACGAAGGGGGCGAGCGUUAUUCGGAAUCACUGGGCGUAAAGCGUGCGUAGGCGGCUUUGCAAGUUGGGAGUGAAAGCCCAGGGCUCAACCCUGGAAUUGCUCUCAAAACUGCAAGGCUGGAAUUCGGGAGAGGAUAGCGGAAUUGUCAGUGUAGCAGUGAAAUGCGUAGAUAUUGACAGGAACACCAGUGGCGUAAGCGGCUAUCUGGACCGAUAUUGACGCUGAGGCACGAAAGCGUGGGGAUCAAACAGGAUUAGAAACCCUUGUAGUCC
rnacentral:rRNA from 1 species